GUUUCAGACACUGUGAUGGAUGCCACGUUUUUAUGACAAGAAUUUUAACAGCUCUUCCUCAGCACUCGAUGCACACCCAAUUAUGCGUCUGAGCUAGUAACCUUGAAUUUAUGUUGCCAUGGUGACAAACUGGUCAUGCAUUAUGGAUUCUCACUGAAAUUCUACACCCCUACCUAGCAUAAUGAGAGUGGGGACUUAAUCAAAUCAGCCAUUCUGUGUGACACACAGUGAAGAACCAGCUCUCAUUGUUCAGCGUGGAGAAAGGAAGCAGGCCUGCAGGGAAGCAGCUGCGGAGCCCCAGCCUGAUAGAUGGCCCUUACAUACAUUUGUGGACGUAUAGACAGAUGGUGCUCAGUGCCCGCAGUUUUCAGUCCAGGCAGCAGCUGUUCGGAUAACCUCUGCCGUCUCACCUUGUUGUCAUGGAACACUGAACAGAGCCUGAGAAUGUAAGGAAGACAGGCAGCAUCAGGGUGGUAAUCUUUGCCUCGGAGGAAUUCAGUUUGCUGCUGUUUUCAGAGCCUAGAAGUCAUAGGGAGAACUUGUCCUCGGAUGCAGUUUGAGCUUCCUCCUACCCGUAGGUAACUCUCGUCUUAGCUUUCUCUCGGCUGGUCACACAGACAAAAUACCAGCUGCUUGAGGUCAAAGGAGCAGGCUGGCUGUCAGGGCAGCUUCUGACCAGAGAGGAGAGGACACUGCCUUCCCGGGGCCCCUCUCUUCCCUGAAUGUGGUGAGUAUAAACUAGCGAGUACCAGCCAUGGCGAGCUCCUGGUUGGAGGACUGUGCCCAUGGAUGGGCUUGUCAAAGGAUCUUUCUCUCUGCUAGAAAUUGCUGAAUGCAUGCAGUGGUUCAGAUAAGCAGCUGCUUUGGGUAGAACGCCAAGCUCCAAGCCUCAGGGUCCAUGCUUGUUUCUCAAGCAAGGACGGAGGACUCGGGAUUGUGCUUGCGUUGCACCUGCUCCUCCUCUCACCUCCCACCCCCACCGAUGCCUGAUAAGGCUACGGUCAUUAAUGUGCUAUGACAUCCAUUGGCAAACAUUCUAGCUAUUGGCUUCUUUCAGCUGAUGUUUUCUAUGUGCUUGGUUUUGUUAAUCCUGUUCAUUAUUCUUCCUAGCUUUCCAACCUCAACAUUUAAAACUGCCUCAGCCGUUGGACUUGGAAUGCUUACCCAUGUGUGAGUGGAAGGAAGCUGUUCUUACAUUUUUCAUGAGCCUUUGGGUGUCUUGCCCGGUGCGGCGACCUCCAUGACUGCAGUAUAUCACACCAAUCUUUAAAAUUUCAAGUGUAUCAGCAAAUGUGAAGCUUGAGCCAUGGAAAUCUGACAAUUAGGAUGAAAAGAGUUUCUUCACCCACCUAAUAUUGUUUUGUUUGACUCUGUCAUUCAACUAAUUCUAUUAAAUGGUCUAAUAAAAAUUAACUAAGUGUGAUUUCUUUAUUUAUAAUAACUUUAAGUUGUUUAUUAUUGGAAAAUGUGAUAAACAGAUCUUUAGAUAAAAUAUAUAUAUUUUCUAAAUUAUUUAUUUGAAAGGCAAAGAGACAGGGACAGAUGGAGAGGGAAAGAGAUAUAGACAGACAGAGAGCACCUAUCUGCCGGUCCACCCACCCAAACAUCCCCCCUCUCUGCCAAACAGCUGAAAUGCUGGGACUGAGCAAGACCAAAACCAGGAGGCAUGAACUCAAUCCAGGUCUCCCAAGGAAAUGGCGGGGCCUAAGCACCUGAACUGGAAUCAGGAGUCGGAGCCAGGUGCUCAGAUGAGAAAUACUAACUCCUGUUCCAAAAAUACGUUUUCAUUAAAUAUUUGCUUAAUUUCCCUA